CAUCAUGCGAUACUGACGUAAUGGUCUGGGGCACACUGACUGGCUGCCUCAGAACUGGUCACUCUCUCUUUCUUUUCGCAUAUGGAGCAGCAAUCAGCUUACAACUAAAUCACAUCUGAGCACAAGCUGUCUCCACAAAGCCAACCAAAGAGGCAACAUUCACAGGCUGACAAAGCAUCCCUAAAGCAGGAAAGAAAAGAAGCCCCUGAGGCUGCUGCCCGGAGAAGGAAAAGGCUUUCAACAUUCAUACCAGUCUGUUGGGGCAUUGUGCAGACCACAGAGGGAGAGUAACUGAUGGAAUACUCUCUGAAGUUCACACUUGGGCGAAGCUGCAUGUUUAACAUCAGGAGUGGGAGGAAAGUCAUUUGUCUAGCGUGGUUUAGGCAGUACCAGAAGGGAUGGGGCAGACGGUACACUUCUAUAAAGUAAGUCAUGUUUAUCUGUAACAAUUUUUUUUUUCUGCUUUUUUGAGAGGGAGUCUCUCUCUUGUCACCCAGGCUGGAGUGGAGUGGCAAAAUCUCGGCUCACUGCAGCCUCCUCCUCCCGGGUUCAAGCAAUUCUCCUGCCUCAGCCUCCUGAGUAGCUGUUAUUACAGAUGCCCGCCACCAUGCCCAGCUAAUUCUUGUAUUUUUAGUAGAGACAGGAUUUCACCACGUAGGCCAGGCUAGUCUCAAACUCCUGACCUCAGGUGAUCCACCCACCUCGGCCUCCCAAAGUGCUGGGAUUACAGGUGUGAGCCAUCGUGCUCGGCACAAAUUUUAAAUAUUGUAGAAACAAUCAUAGUAGACUGAGGCUGGGUUGGUUAGGCUUCUUUUAUAAGAUAGUGAUUUAUUUUUUAAAAGAAACUUUUAAAAGAAAGCCUCCCACUUAGAGAUAAUUAGAAUAGCAAAGCAUUUAAAGAACUAGAAAGAUUCUUGGGUAGUCUGGGUUAGCUGUAACACACAAUAAGACCCUCAGUCUUUCACUCUGCCCUUCACACUCUCCCCAGGAAUCCUUCUAGUAAUCUUAACUCCCUCAUGAUACCACUAUCUACCAGUUGCUCCAGCAAAAAAUCCAACAGUCAAACUUUAUUUCUCUCUGUAUUUCAUUUUGUACAUCUAUGUCAGCAACAGAUCCCACUGCUUCUAAUUCCAAAAUAUAUCAUAAACCGAACUAUCUGUCUCCACUGCCACCUCCUCAGCCCAACUACAAUCUGCUCUCAGCUAGAUUUCAUUAAACUCUCCAAUGUCUCCAAGCUUUCCCAACAAAUCGUUCUCCCUACAAGAGUGAAAUUAAUCAUUUUUAAAGGAUGGACCUCUGUUUACCCUUAAAACAAAUGAUUAUAUAAUACUGAAUACACAUAUUUAAGAAAAAUAGAGCAGACAUCUAUAUAGCUACUACACAUUUAAAUCUCCUUAUGUGUCUCUUCCCAAUUAACUAUGCUGUUCAUCAUCUUCCAACUAACCUGUACUUGAUAUUUAUUUUACUAACAUACUUCUUUUGGUUGUCUAAAUCUAUCUCUAAGCAAUAUAUAUUAUUUUUGCAUUUUUAAAGUUUGGUGUAAAUGAUAUUUUAUUGUAUUUAUUCUUUGGCAAUUUGUUUUUAUCUCAUUAUUAUGCUUGUGACAUUUAUUCUCGUUCAUUUUUGCUUCUGUAUAAUAUUCCACGUUCUGAAUAAAC
rnacentral:lncRNA from 10 species